rnacentral:rRNA from 1 species
AUCAACGCUGGCGGCGUGCCUAACACAUGCAAGUCGAACGAGAAAGUGGCAGACGGGUGAGUAAUGCAUGGGUAACCUACCCUCAGGUGGGGAAUAACUCCUCGAAAGGGGAGCUAAUGCCGACGAUAUCCACCAGCCUCAUAAGAGGUUGGUGGAAAGCCGAACCGAGGGUUCGGCGCCUGAGGAUGGGCUCAUGUCCUAUCAGCUUGUUGGCGGGGUAAUGGCCAACCAAGGCUGCGACGGGUAGCUGGUCUGAGAGGACGACCAGCCACACUGGCACUGCGACACGGGCCAGACUCCUACGGGAGGCAGCAGUGAGGAAUCUUGCGCAAUGGGCGAAAGCCUGACGCAGCGACGCCGCGUGGGGGAUGAAGGCCUUCGGGUUGUAAACCCCUUUCAGGAGGGAAGAUGGGACGGGCAACCGUUCGGACGGUACCUUCAGAAGCAGCCACGGCUAACUCUGU